rnacentral:lncRNA from 1 species
GGCAGAGCUGGGCUGCGUCAGGCUGAGCCCAUUCACCUCGCGGCCGCAGGAGCGCAGCGCCGGCGCCGCGCCGCCCAGCCCCGCCGAGAGGGGCGCACUCGCCGCCGCUGGGCCCGCCGCCGCUCACCGCAGCCCCCUCCUGGCGACCCGCAAAGAGACUUUACCAGAUGCAGGAAAUGAAGAUGAAGGCAACUCUGGAAGGAUGAAAAGAAGAGAGAGCAAGCACUGUACCUACUGUCUGCUAUCUAAGAGGGCUGGUCUCAUAACUAAAAGAUCCAGUCCCUGAGAUCUUGUGUGCAACUAUCAGAAAUAGUUCAGGACAUCAAAUUGCGCAGAAAAGAUUCAGAUGAAGAGAAACAAGAACUCUGUGGAAAACUGUUGGAGACAGUGGCACGGUUGUCUUAAAAGGUGAUGUCUGUCCCAUGGAGGGACACAAGAGCGAGGACAGCACGGUUCUAAUGGCCAGGGCAUGUCCUCUUAUUCAAUGUGACAGGGUAUGUUUUUGACAUAUACUCUUUGAAAUAUGUUGAUUAUUCUGGACAUCAGUAAGGUGGGAUAUUUGAAUAAAAAGACUUCUGUCAUUAUUGGCUUUUAUGGCUAUGAUUUUUUUCAGUCAUUUUUAUAAAUCAUGUGAAGGUAAAAUAAAUGAUCAUUUCAGCCAUUAAUUCUGUUCUGCACAGAAUGCUGUUCAAAUAAAACAUCAUCUGAU